GUUGUAAAUAUAUUUGGUGUCUCAUGACAUAGUAUAGUCCUGACUGUGACAUAUUUUGUAGGAUGUCUACUUUGAUGACGAGUCUGCUGAAGUUGUUGUAUCAUCUCUAAGGCUUGGUGAUGAACAGGCCAACAAUUUAUUCGCAAACUCGAACUGUUCACUUUCCAAGGAGAUGAGUUGGGUGAGAACACAGGAGCAGGGGGGAUUCCCUCGGAGGAAGCAAUGGAAGAUGUAAGCUUGGAUGAAACUUCCGGUAAUGGAGAUGAAGAAGACUGUUUGAUUACGGAAAGCAAGAACCCUUUUGUGGCCACAGCUUCAACCUCAGAAGCAGUCUCUGUAGACAGCAUACCUGGAGGUAUCGAGAUCGAUGAAGAUGUGGUUUCGGAUGAAUCGUCACCCGAAAGGGUUGAACGUGGAGAUGCUUCUUCUCCCACUGCACAGGUCAAAGAUCCGUUUCCUGAAGUUGACGUCAAGAUGCCUGAUGUGAGAGUCCCAAACGGUUCUUCAUCCUCAGAAGGUGAGAUUAGCCCGAGAUCACCGCCUGUGCCUUCAUUGUUUGAAAAAGACGUUGAGUUUUGUGGGCGUGGAGCCAGAAGGAACCGAGAGGGCAAUGGAUCAAGCUCUCAAGGAAGGGAUAGUGGGAGAAGCAGGGCCAAUGAAGAGGAGCAGCACCACAGCUUCUCCGGGAAAGGAGAGCUCUGAUGAGAAUAUGCAGCAGGAGUACAACGACACUAACUACUGGAAGAUCGAUCAGGAGGUGGCCGUGGUUGAAUGAUGAUGUGGGCAUAUCGUUGUCUGCAGGACUACCUAGCAGAAAGGGAAGCUGCAGCUGGACAGGUGAACGUUGUUAUUGAUCGAGCCCGUGAAGCAGUGGCGGGAAUGAGUGACGUCUAAAUGGGGAUCAGUUCUGAAGGAUAUGUCCUUGUAUCCGGUUUGAAUAAUUAUUUUACAUGCAUAUAUAUAUGUGUGUGACUUUUGAGGUUGAAAUUAGCAAACAAAUAUGGAUUUACCUUUUGUUUUUGAAAUCUUUGAAAUAUGUAACUAAAACUGAUUUAGUUUUUAAAGCAAUGGAUUAAAAAUA